rnacentral:rRNA from 1 species
AGUUGCCAUAANGAACUCUAAAAAGACUGCCGGUUAUAAACCGGAGGAAGGCGGGGAUGACGUCAAGUCNNCAUGCCCCUUACACCCUGGGCUACACACGUGCUACAUUGGGUGAGACAAUGAGAAGCAAACCUGUAAAGACUACCAAAUCUAAAAACUCAUUCUAANUUCGGAUUGUAGGCUGCAACUCGCCUACAUGAAGGUGGAAUCGCUAGUAAUCGCUGGUCAGCUAUACAGCGGUGAAUUCGUUCCCGGGCCUUGCACA